UUAUGCCGCGAUUUUCUCCAACGUUUUAUCUGUAAGGGACAGUGGUUAUUUAUAAGACGCUGACGUAUGGUGGGGAUACACCAUAGUCUACUGAAUCACCCGAGCCCAGCUGCGCAGUUCGCCUCUCCCUGUGUUCAGUGCUAAGUUUCUCCGCACGUGGCCUGAGCAACCUUGGUAUAUAAACACAGACCCAGUCAAACACAAACGCCUUUGCCAGAUUACUUGAUUCGAGAGAACUAAGAAGAAAUUAGAAACACGUCCAGUCAUUGCUCAGUGUGAGAAAGUGAUCACUGAAAGAAAAUCAAAGUCUUGAGAAAAGAUUGGAAGAAAGAAACAGAAACAUACAUUCUGGGUGUUAAUUUUAUGCUACAGACUUAGCAUAAUUGCUGUAAACUUCCUUCUUGGCCAGAGCUUAAUUCAGUGAGACGUUUCGGUCAGGGGCUGACGUAUCUCAGACAAAGACUUUGUGAAUCAAGGACAACUGCUGUGGUUUUGUUUCAUAUUUAACGGAUCUCCGCAGGACUAUUGCCAUGCAUCUGAAAUCUCCGGUGAGCGAGGAGGGUACCCGGGAAGCUGAUCCCGUCACCCACGGGACUGGAGCCGCGCCUCCCGCGACACCCUCGUCCAGGUCUCCCCUCGUGGACUGGCAGAAAUGGACAGUAUUGUGAACACCCAGGAUGAUGUGGUCCGCAGGUACGUUGGACUCCGCGACGGACUCCAAGUGCUGGAAAGAGAAGUGUCUUAUAUUCGAACUCUCAACAGCAGUGGAGGCGGUCAGGACAGAACACUCAACCAGUCCAAAUUCGAUCCUUUAUCAAGCGAUGAAGAAGAAAUCGACCGAUAACUUCGUAUUUAAAUGUUGUACAGGAUGCGGUACACAGAACGAUGGCAAGAAACGUUAAUGCGCAUUUCGCUCUCGGAGGAAUGCAUAGCUUGGGUUGGAUCCAUUGACAGUGUGCCAAAUCAACUUAUAAGACAGAUGGAGUUCUUUGUGCCCGUCACAGGUGCCUCGUUUUCACCAGAAAGAAACAAUAAGAACGAUGUUCUCCAAAUAAAAGUGUGGAGAAGACAUACUGGCUUAUAUAAGAUCACUGAUACGCCAAGGGAUAGAAAACACUAAAAUAUAACCCACAUCUAGAAGAGAUAAAGAAAUGUUUUCUGGAAGACGGGUGACUUUUAAAGUACUCCAGGUUGUCAGGGUACGGAAGACGUCGAGUUUGGUAGAUGCGUUACAUGCAUUUGGAGCCUAUAUGCCAAAUCGGACGCUGACCCAAUGGCGUUCUUGUACAUGCACGUGCCGCGAAUCAGACUGCCAUCAUUAAUUUUAGACCAAGGAGAACAAAAACACUGGAGAAAGAUUUUGUACAUACGUUUUCCUGAGAAAGAAUUUUCCCAUAUACGAAGGUGAAGCCAGUCAAACAGCAGUAGCUUGGCAAGACACAUUCGAACUGGGCAUACUUUACCGGAUGUUACUGACUGACACAUGUACAUACUGCUAUACAAACAAUGUUUAAUAGCACAACCAUGUGUGCAAUGCGACAAAGAUUUUAUGCCUCAGCAAAUGAAGGCAACUUCUUGCUUUGUGUAGAAGGUUUAAUAUAAUAAGUCGCAUAUAAUACUGUAUCAGACGCCUUUUACGAGAUGCAUAGUUUCGUUGCCAACGUUAAUGGUUGAUGCUAGGUUCACGCAUGCUACUGUCAUCGAUACAACGAGCCGACAUACUACAAACUGUUAACGUAACGAUUUCUGAGAGAGAUUAUUCAUAAUGUAUAAAUUGUACAAUGCUCCUGACAUAUUACUAGAUACUUUUAAAAUGAGUGUUUAUGAAUAUUAUAUUUUUGAAGUGAUAUAUAUAUCUAGGCCUACAUGUGAAAUUCACCGAUGCCACACUGCCAAACAAUCUCCUAACGUUUCACUCCCACAUUCCCUCUCCAAGCAUGCACUUUUUUCCAAGACUGAAGGCAUCGCGGCGUGACACAUUUAUGAAAGAGUUUACAAGCAACGUAAUGGAGGCUUAAACCCUCCUUAUUUUUCAACUGUUGCCUUCCCAGACGUGCAUCUUUGUCUCUGAAAAUUUCCUUUUUGUCAGCACGUCUCAUACACCAUACAAUAGACUCGUUUAACCUACAUUAGUAAUAGCGUAUGACGUCACAACUGACCUGUGAAUGGCAUCAGUUGUAUCAUAACCUUCAAAUGAGUUUGUAUAGCAUAGUUACCUGUUGCAUCAGCCCAUCUCCUGACGGAUAUCCUAUUUCUUCACAUGACACAUUUUCCGAUGUUAACAGAAGAUAGGUAUCCACACAGUAACAAUAACCCAUGCCAGACAGAGAAACGAACACGCUUGUUCACUACUCACAUCUCAAAAGAACGUUGGUCUGCUUUGUUUACAUCUGCAGCAGUGCCAGAGCACAUAGGCCUAGUUUUGGAGUCAUUUGUAAAGCUGUCCAUGUGCUGCUUUACCAGCACUUCAGACAAGACAUUUAGAAUGAAAAUGCUCCACACCAAAAUAAACUGGCACAAAGGUUUUUCCACCAUACCCACAUACAUGAAGUAGGCCGACAUGUGUGCAUUAGCUACAUUUCUAUCUCAAAUCUGAAUUAUUUUUGAAAUGUUCCAGGGGUUGAUUUACCGUUCAGCUAUCAAAUAUCACUGACAAUUUUGUUGACAUCACAUUUCUUUGUCUUCUUUUCUUAGUAACAUGACUGUGUUCACUUUUAAGAAUUUUAAGAACAGACAGUUUGUAUUUCAUGUAAUGGUUUGAAUGUUCCAACUGCUUUGAAAGUUUUGCGGAUUUUUUUUUUGAUAGAAUAUUAAUAUUUAAUACAACUCCAAUACUCCUUAAUACAGAAAAUCGGGGUGCGAUUCUAUAUAAGAGGGGAAAGAGGUCAGAGAACAAUUUGUUGUGACAGAAUGAUUUCUAAACUCGUAAACAUUGAUAACAAUGAUGUCUGUGAUGCCCAAACAAUCGAUUCAAGGUAUUUAACCAUGGAUUUAUUCACUUCUAUCAAUAAACUAUAUUUUGACAAAUUCCA